CCUACGGGAGGCAGCAGUAGGGAAUCUUCGGCAAUGGACGGAAGUCUGACCGAGCAACGCCGCGUGAGUGAAGAAGGUUUUCGGAUCGUAAAGCUCUGUUGUUAGAGAAGAACGUUGGUAGGAGUGGAAAAUCUACCAAGUGACGGUAACUAACCAGAAAGGGACGGCUAACUACGUGCCAGCAGCCGCGGUAAU
rnacentral:rRNA from 1 species